rnacentral:rRNA from 1 species
UGGAGCCUGCGGUUUAAUUGGACUCAACGCCGGAAAACUCACCGGGGCGACAGCAAUAUGUAGGUCAAGCUAAAGACUUUACCAGAAUCGCUGAGAGGAGGUGCAUGGCCGUCGUCAGUUCGUACUGUGAAGCAUCCUGUUAAGUCAGGCAACGAGCGAGACCCGUGCCCACUGUUGCCAGCAUGUCCUUCGGGAUGAUGGGUACUCUGUGGGGACCGCCGAUGCUAAAUCGGAGGAAGGUGCGGGCUACGGUAGGUCAGUAUGCCCCGAAUCUCCCGGGCUACACGCGGGCUACAAUGACUGGGACAAUGGGCUCCUACCCCGAAAGGGGAUGGUAAUCUCAUAAACCCAGCCUUAGUUCGGAUCGAGGGCUGUAACCCGCCCUCGUGAAGCUGGAAUCCGUAGUAAUCGCGUUUCAACAGAACGCGGUGAAUACGUCCCUGCUCCUU